GCUACUUUUUUAUCAUAAAAGAUUACUUUGUAUAAUAAUUUUGCAUAAUUUUUCUGCAAUGCUGUAAUCGUGCUUCACAAGUUGAUAGAGUUCAUUUUCCAUAAAAAAUUUGAUUGUGACGAAUAUUGCUGAAAAAACUUUGUGUCGAAGAACAAAAAUCUUUCUUACUUAAAAUUUCUCAAAAAAAGAAGCUUCUUCUGAUAGAAUCUCAAAAAUGGACAGUGAUCAUUCUGAUUUCAAUUUUUCAAACUCGUCGACUGAGAGCCCAGACAAUUCAAACCCCUUCACAAUUCCUCCCUCGACCUUUAUUUGGGUGGUUGUUUCAGUCGCAAUAGUCUCAAUGACAUCCCAAGCUGCAGUAAUUUUGAUUGCUUUCGGUCUGAAAGGCGAUUUCUCAGCCCAAACUAUCAUGAUUGUGCAAUCGGUUUCAGAAAUUUUGAAAAUGGCUCAAAUUGUUCAGCGGGCAGUAUGCGGUCUAUCAGGUGGAGCGUGGCUAGCUUGCGUUCAUCACAACGUAACACUUUUGUGCAAAUUGGCGAAAAGUUCCAGCGAUCUUCUGAACACGUUUCCAGACCACAUGGGACUCUUUCUGGCGCUCGAUCGAUAUCUGGCAGUCAAGCACGGAGUGUGGUAUAGCCAGAACUGCACCCGAAAAGCGGCCUGGAUUGUGAUUGUGCCUGCUAUCUUGAUCAGAAUACCAGAUGUCGCAAUUGCUUUUGUCGCUGCUGAGAUUGUACCGGAGCAGGGCUGUUCUGACGUCGGAAUUGCCCCUUUUGUAUCUCAAAUUGUGGUGGGUGCAUUGGGUGCGCCAUCUAUUGCGGUCGGUGUUGUCUUCACAAUUCUUCUGAUUGUCGAGCUGAACCGAAGAAGAAAGAUCAGACAACCUGCGCUACGGAAUCUGCUCGCAAAA